rnacentral:rRNA from 1 species
CCUACGGGAGGCAGCAGUGGGGAAAUAUUGGGUAAUGGGCGAAAGCCUGACCCAGCGAUGCCGCGUGAGGGAUGAAGGCCUUCGGGUUGUAAACCUCUGUCAGGAGGGACGAUGGGACACUUGUGUCUUGACGGUACCUCCAGAGGAAGCCCCGGCUAACUCCGUGCCAGCAGCCGCGGUAAUACGGGAGGGGGCAAGCGUUGCUCGGAAUUACUGGGCGUAAAGGGUCCGCAGGCUGUCAGGCAAGUUGGUUGUGAAAGCUCAAGGCUUAACCUUGGGAAUUGCAUCCAAAACUGCCUGACUAGAGUCCAAGAAGGUUGGCGGAAUUCCCGGUGUAGCGGUGAAAUGCAUAGAUAUCGGGAGGAACACCAGAGGCGAAGGCGGCCAACUGGCUUGGUACUGACGCUCAGGGACGAAAGCGUGGGUAGCAAACCGGUUAAUACCCGGGUAGUCCACGCCCUAAACGGGUGCUAGUAGGGGAAUUUAUUUCUCCCUGCCGUAGUUAACGCAUUAAGCAUCCCGCCUGGGGGUACGGUCGCAGGCUAAACUCAAAGGAAUUGACGG